GACAGAGGAUGCAAGCGUUAUCCGGAAUGAUUGGGCGUAAAGCGUCUGUAGGUGGCUUUUUAAGUCUGCCGUCAAAUCCCAGGGCUUAACCCUGGACAGGCGGUGGAAACUACCAAGCUGGAGUACGGUAGGGGCAGAGGGAAUUUCCGGUGGAGCGGUGAAAUGCGUAGAGAUCGGAAGGAACGCCGGUGGCGAAAGCGGCGGACUGGGCACCUUCUGACGCUGAGGCGCGAAAGCCAGGGGAGCAAACGGG
rnacentral:rRNA from 1 species